GUUCCAUGUGAACGGCACUUGCACAUGGGUAAGCCGAUCCUAAGGGACGGGGUAACCCCGGCAGAUAGCGCGAUCACGCGCAUCCCCCGAAAGGGAAUCGGGUUAAGAUUUCCCGAGCCGGGAUGUGGCGGUUGAC
rnacentral:ncRNA from 2 species